AUGCUCGACUUCUUCAGGAUUUUCUCCAAGGGUGGGCUUGUGCUCUGGUGCUUCCAGGUCGUGAGUGACUCACGCACCUGGCCCAUUAAUGUGUUGAUUCGUUCUGUGCUGCUGCAGGAAAGGGAAGGUAACAACUCCUUCACCCAUGAGCCACUCACACUCAAGUAUAAACUAGACAACCAGUUUGAGCUGAUGUUCGUGGUUGGUUUUCAGAAGAUCCUAACACUGACGUAUGUAGACAAAUUGAUAGAUGGUGUGCACCAGCUGUUUCGGGACAAGUAUCACACAGAGAUCCAACAGCAAAGUGCUUUAAGUCUAUUGAAUGGCACUUUUUAUUUCCAAAAUUACUUCCUGCGGCUCCUUCCUGAAGCAGAGGAGAGCAGUAAGAUCCAUGCUCCCACUACCAUGAAGAAAUUUGAAGAUUCUGAAAAGGCCAAGAAACCUGUGAGGUCCAUGAUUGAGACACGGGUGAAAAGCCCAAGGAAAAAGCAAAGAACAGCAAAAAAAAGGGGGAAGAAGGCGAGUUCUGAUGGCCCUUUGGCUACCAGCAAAGCAGUUCCUGCGGAAAAGUCAGGUCUCCCAGUGGGGCCUGAAAAUGGGGUAGAACUUUCUGAAGAGGAGCUCAUACGCAGGAAGCCAGAGAAGUUCAUUCAGAAGCAUGGGAGAGGUAUGGAAAAGUCCAGCGAGUCCAUGAAAUCAGAUGCUCCAAAGGAGAAGGGCAAAAAUGCACCCCGGGUAUGGGCACUGGGUGGCUGUGCUAACAAGGAAGUCUUGGAUUAUGGCACCUCCACCACCAAUGGAGCCCCUGAGGUUGCCCCACCUGAGGACAUCAACUUGAUUCAAACGACUAGGUCUGGAGGGCAGCUUCAGGAUCUGAACUGCAGCAGCUCAGAUGAUGAAGUGGCUGCUCAAAACACCACCAAACCUAGUGCUACCAAGGGAACUCUGGGUGGCAUGUUUGGGAUGCUGAAGGGCCUUGUGGGGUCCAAGAGCCUGAGUCAUGAAGAUGUGGAGUUUGUGCUGGAUAAGAUGCAUGAUCAUCUCAUUGCUAAGAGUGUGGAAGCAGACAUUGCAGUCCAGCUCUGUGAAUCUGAGGCCAACAAGUUGGAAGGGAAGGUGAUGGGGACAUUCAGCACGGUGACUUCCACGGUAAAGCAAGCCCUACAAGAGUCCCUGGUGCAGACUCUGCAGCCACAGUGUCUUAUAGACAUGCUCCGGGAUAUUAUGGAUGCUCAGCAUCAUCAGCGUCCUUAUGUUGUCACCUUCUGUGGUGUUAAUGGAGUGGGGAAGUCUACUAAUCUUGCCAAGAUUUCCUUCUAGCUGUGUUAGAGAAUGGCUUCAGUGUCCUCAUUGCUGCCUGUGACACAUUUCGUGCAGGGGCUUGGAGCAGCUGGGUGCCCUACAGCCCCCAGAGAACCAUGGCGGCCGCACUAUGGUGCAGUUGUUUGAAAAGGACUACGGCAAGGACGCUGUGGGCAUUGCCAUGGAAGCGAUUGCCUUUGCACGCAACAAAGGCUUUGAUGUGGCGCUGGUGGACACAGCUGGCCGAAUGCAAGCCAAUGCCCUUUUGAUGACCGCCCUGGCUAAGCUCAUUACUGUCAACACACCCGACUAGCUGCAGUUUGUGGGGGAGUCCUUAGUAGGCAAUGAGGCCAUGGACUAGCUGGUCAAGUUCAACAGAGCUUUGGCUGACCAUUCUAUGGCUCAAACACACCUGCUCAUUGAUGGCAUUACCCUUACCAAAUUUGAUACCAUUGAAGACAAGGUGGGAGCUGCUAUUUCUAUGACCUAUGUCAUAAGCAAAUCCACCGUCUUUGUGGGCACUGGCCAGACCUACUGUGACCUAUGCAGUUUCAAUACCAAGGCUGUGGUGGCUGCCCUCAUGAAGGCUUAA